AAAAUAUAGGGAGACACUAGGAUCAGGAAGGUGGUUUUCCCAGGGUGAGGCCCAUCCAUUGCACUUGGGAUGUGCUGACCCCUGCGAUUUCCCCAAAUGCAGGAAACUCGACUGCAUAAUUUGUGGUAAUGGGGGACUAUGUUUGCACUCUCCCCUA
ensembl:snRNA U1 U1 spliceosomal RNA